rnacentral:rRNA from 1 species
UCAAAGUCUAACCUGCCCACUGAAAAUUUUUAAAUGGCCGCAGUAUUUUAACUGUGCAAAGGUAGCAUAAUCAUUAGUCUUUUAAUUGAAGGCUGGAAUGAAUGGUUGGACGAGAUAUUAACUGUUUCAUUUAAAAUUUUUGUAGAAUUUUAUUUUUUAGUCAAAAAGCUAAAAUAAUUUUAAAAGACGAGAAGACCCUAUAAAUCUUUAUAUUUUAAUUAUUUUAAUUAUAAAGAUUUUUUUUAUUAUAAUAAUUUAAAGUAUUUUAUUGGGGUGAUAAUAAAAUUUAAAAAACUUUUAAUUUUAAAAACAUUAAUUUAUGAAUAAUUGAUCCAUUAAUAAUGAUUAAAAAUUUAAGUUACUUUAGGGAUAACAGCGUAAUUUUUUUGGAGAGUUCUUAUCGAUAAAAAAGAUUGCGACCUCGAUGUUGGAUUAAGAUAUAAUUUUGGGUGUAGCCGUUCAAAUUUUAAGUCUGUUCGACUUUUAAAUUCUUACAUGAUCUGAGUUCAAACCGGCGUAAGCCAGGUUGGUUUCUAUCUUUAAAUAAUAAUAAUAUUUUAGUACGAAAGGACCAAAUAUUAAAAUAAUUAUAUUUUAAAUAAGAAUAUUAUUAAUUAAA